UUUGUGACUGUGUGUUGAACCUGUGUGUGCUGUGUAGGGAGAGUGUUUGCUAACACAGAAGACUCGGCCUGUUUGCUGGGCAUGCGGCGUCGUGCGUUGGUCUUCCAGCCUGUGGUUCAGCUCAGAGAUGAGACUGACUUUGUUCACAGAAUCCCUAAGGAACAGUGGUGGCUGAAGUUACGUCCACUCAUGAAGAUCUUGGCCAAGUACAAGACCAGCUACGACAUAUCAGACUCUGGACAGCUGGAACAUGUGGUCCUCAACCGCCCCAAAGAGUCUGAGGCCAUGGCUGCCAUUUAAACAUCCAAAAAGCGGCAGUGUUUAAAGGUCACGCUUUAGACGGGCCGUCUGUCCUGUGAGCGCUGUCCUCGACACUUUUAUUCUCUGGGCUGCACCACUUUGUUCUGUCAACGCUUUGUUUGAAAAAU